rnacentral:rRNA from 1 species
GCGGCGGACGGGUGAGUAAUGUCUGGGAAACUGCCUGAUGGAGGGGGAUAACUACUGGAAACGGUAGCUAAUACCGCAUAACGUCGCAAGACCAAAGAGGGGGACCUUCGGGCCUCUUGCCAUCAGAUGUGCCCAGAUGGGAUUAGCUAGUAGGUGGGGUAACGGCUCACCUAGGCGACGAUCCCUAGCUGGUCUGAGAGGAUGACCAGCCACACUGGAACUGAGACACGGUCCAGACUCCUACGGGAGGCAGCAGUGGGGAAUAUUGCACAAUGGGCGCAAGCCUGAUGCAGCCAUGCCGCGUGUAUGAAGAAGGCCUUCGGGUUGUAAAGUACUUUCAGCGGGGAGGAAGGUGUUGAGGUUAAUAACCUCAGCAAUUGACGUUACCCGCAGAAGAAGCACCGGCUAACUCCGUGCCAGCAGCCGCGGUAAUACGGAGGGUGCAAGCGUUAAUCGGAAUUACUGGGCGUAAAGCGCACGCAGGCGGUCUGUCAAGUCGGAUGUGAAAUCCCCGGGCUCAACCUGGGAACUGCAUUCGAAACUGGCAGGCUAGAGUCUUGUAGAGGGGGGUAGAAUUCCGGUGUAGCGGUGAAAUGCGUAAGAUCUGGAGGAAUACCGGGUGGGCGAAGGCGGCCCCCCCU